GGGUGACAACCCAUCUUGAGAGAGAGAGUUCUGUCCCUUGGCCUGACAGGCUGAGGGGAUUGUCCUUGGUUUUGUUUACGUUUGGUUGUUGUGCUUCGAUUUGGAUAAAAGUGUUGGACCUUCAUGUUUACAUGUGCUUCUGCUGCGUUUUCUUCCUCUUCUGGUCUGCAACUGGACGGACUCCUAACAACCUUUCCCAUGAAGGUGUCGUCCACACCACUUCACUAAACGCCUACGGAAACGUCUUGCUGACAUCAGUUGACCCGGCAGGCAAGCCAAGGAUUUCCUUCAACCGAUAAGUUUCUUUCCAACAAUAAAAGAAUAAUAAUACCGUAGAUUGAAUUUUGAGGACCAAUUUUAGAAUGUGCGUUCCAGUAGAACCAGAACACAGGAGUACAUGACGGGACAGACACGAAUGCUUCUAGUCGAAUGUUAUGCACUAAUAUGGAUGAUUUUGGAGAAUUAUGCCUACACGUGACCUUUAACCUAAGCUGAUGGUAGACUUUUGGUUUAAUAGUUGCUGUUGAAGAACGCCCCACACAUAUACAUGCAUGCAUAGAGUUGUAUAUUCAUGUUUAUUGUUGAUUCUGAUACACAGAUAUAAACAGACACAAAGCAGCGCAUCCACACAUUAAUUCCUUGUUGAUGCUGACCUCAUCGUGGAGCCCGCUGCUUGAGUCAAGUCAGAGCUGUACCUUAGCCAAAGCCAGGGCCACCCUACAAACAUCAAAACUCAGGACAGACGACAGUCCUGUGGCUCUACCUGUGAAGUCAAUGGGCACGCAGGUAGAUAGCAUUCACCAACUAAGUUGUCGAUGAGACAUCUACAGAUGACAAAGUCGUGUGACUGGAGCAGACUAUAUCAAUAAUCAGAAAGUUGGAAUCCACUACAAAGCAGACAGCGACUGUAGACACUGUGUCCUAUGUAUCCUUAUGUCUCUUGACCUCAGGUUGACCCAGGAUGCACUGGUGCUUUAGUGUUGCACUGUUUACUCAGGGUGAGUCUCUUAAACAUUACACGCUGUCGGAAAUGAAAUGAAACAUGUGUGUGUAGUAUAUAUAUGUAGAUAUCUCCCAGACAGGUAAUUCCUCUCAAUGCCACACUUGUCUUUCGAGUCCCUAAUUAUCCCCAUCCACACAUGGAGUGGAAAGCUUGUUGUCGAGGCCCUUAGAAGCCAGUUGAGUAAACAAUAUUGCUGAACACUGCUCAAUGCACAAUACCAGCUUUGAUUAUUUUCCACUAAUGCCCAUAUUUCAGGUUCAUUACAAAGACAACAAUUCUACCCCAAACUUACUUUGAUGUGUAUUUAGCUAUGUCCCUUAUUGAUAAAUAUCACUAAACGAUUUGUAAUGAAAAGCAAUAUUACUUGCUGUUAGUAUUAAACACGUGACAGUAACAUACUAGAGGUGUACAGAUAGACCGCUGUACACUGUAAUCUUAACUUGAACAAUACACAGACACAAAAAACCGUAUUUUUUCAUAAAGUCUGAAAAGUUAAAUGCAAAAUAAAAGCAGAUGUUGAUUCAUAGUUCAAAAGUACUGAUAUGCAAAAUGUAUUUCACAAAUUGACAGUAUGUAUUUAUGGUGCAAAAACUGUUUAUUCGGCUUAGUAUUUGCUUAUAAAUUAAUAAGACACAGCAUCUCUCGCACCAUUGGACUAAAGUUUGCGAACACAGCAGUCAGUCAGGGUCAGGGUUGGUCGUGAGUAUCGAAGCUGUUUUCUUCUGCUCAUUAGUUUUCUCACAUGUGACAAUAUUAAUACCUUUAACGACUUUAGGAUUCUGAAAGACUUUGUCUUUUCUUACUUAAACUAUUACAAACUAUGUUCUAAAGAAGAACAAAAGAAGACCAAUACAAAUCUCCUCCAUCACCCGCCCUGUCAAUUAUUUAUUGCUCCAGUCGAGUGUUUUGUCCAUCAAAGAAUUGAACAGAGGUUAGGAGCAUGUGGCAGGUUAUUUACGAGACAGAGUAUGUGUUUUUGUUGUUUGUAUUUGACCAAUUGACAGACACAAAACUGAUUCAGGUAAAACGAAACUUCAGCGAUAUUCGUUGGAUUUUCGUAAAUCUCUCUUUUUUUUUUGCGUAAAUACUGGCAAGUGACACCUCCAUACAGCCGCCAUGGCGAGCAUGAUCAGUCAUCUCACAACCGGGAUAUUUCCUUGUUAUUUCACUUUACAUCGUUGUCACAUUGUUGUUACAACCAUCACUCAACUUAGACUCUUAGAGGAUUCACAAGGCCACGACACGGUCACGUGAUGACUGGAGGACAGAUAGGGUGCAAGCCAGAGGUCACGUCGCAACAAUCCCAUGGCCGCCACUGUCCUAGUCACGUGACUAAACCCACCCUCCAUGGACUGCCAGUAUUUUAGGCCGACUGUGAGUUUGCACAAACUCCAGUUCACGAAUAUCAAACAUUUGAAGUAGCCUUCCUCCACAAGGCUAGAGAGGUCCUGAAAUAUGUUUAUUGACAUGGCCGCCAUCCCUAGGGCUCUGACACGCCCCCUAAAACCUUUUCUUUUUCUUGCUGACUGCCACACAUUUUGAGUUUAUCCUGCAUAAAUUCUCAAAUACUUUCAUUCCGCUAUAGUCAAACGUACUUAUUACAUUCCUUAAUCCACAAUAAGGGUAAGUAGAAAAAUAGUUAAUAACACUUUCUUUACUGUUACCAUAGAGACGAUGGUAUGUGUGGAUAAUAAUAAAAAAUGAUUUAUAUAACACUUUACCACAAGCUGAAAGGCUUGCUCAAAAUUUUUUAAAAUAAAUAAUAUAAUAAAUAACAUAAUAAUGAAGGCUGGGCUUGAAUUAAAGACUUCAUUGCCUGCCGGUAGGUGUCGCCACUGAUGUGGAGAAGACGACCGCCAUCAGCAUGGAUGCCGUCAGCAUUCACACAGUCGCCGGCUGUCUCACACAAAACACUUAUACAAACACUUGUAAGUGUCAGGAAAGAAAAUAGAUAUCACGAGACUUUGUUUCAGCUGCAGACAUCUCUACUGUAUGAAGUAAAGUAGGUAAACAGAAACUCAGUCACUACACACAAGACUUCAAAAGAUGAAAGAAGAUCCUGUUACCAGGGACAACAUUGACAUCCUCUUCGUCUGUUUCCGAUGCAAAUAUUUAAUCUUCAAGGAUUCAACUUUCAGAGGAGAUAUAAAGGAUAUAAAGGAGGGGAAACUGUAGGACUGACUAUUGGUUCUCGAAAUCUUUAAUAUCACUGUUCUCGCAUCUUGCAACUGUGAAGUCUCAGAUUCCUUCUUUCUUCUCUGGUCGUCUGACACUGAGUCAUCAUGCGACACCUGGCGGUCGUCGUGGCGAUGCUGAUGAUGCUGUGUCUAGCGACACCUGGAGCUUGCUCACCUGCUGCCAGGGCACCGCUAGAUGAGGUGCUAUCAGAGCCCCUGUUGGAAAGAGGAGUGCUGGUAGAUGAUCCAUGGGCCGAGCCACGACGGUUACCAGAUGAUCCUCCAUCAUCAGAGCCCCUGUGGGAAAGAAGAGUGCUGUCAGAACAGUUAGAUGAUCCAUGGGUCGAGCCACGACAGUUAGCUGAUCCUCCAUCAUCAGAGCCACGACCUGUCUUAGCAGCCGUAUAGCAGUUCCACUCCAAGGUGAUGUCUGGCUAACCUACCAUCACCACAGCCAUCACCGCAACCAUCACAAGCUCGACUGCUACGACCACCACAGCUUCCAACAUUCACACUUUCCUCGCGUCUGUAAGCAGCUUGCUGUCGUGUUUUUGUUGUUGAAAAAGAUGUUAAGAUGAUAAUGAAGUCAUCUGUGAAAGAUCACUCAAGCGAAGACAACACAAUGUUGUUAGUAAAGAAAUACUAGAAAAA